UCCGGCGUAGCUCAAUUGGUAGAGCGGGUGGCUGUUAACCACUAGGUUGGGGGUUCGAGUCCCUCCGCCGGAGC
rnacentral:tRNA from 1 species